rnacentral:lncRNA from 1 species
GGCGCGGCUGGAAGAACCAGACUGAGAAAGUGCCACAGGGCGGGGGCCGCAUCCGCCCCUCGGCUUCUGGUUACUGACCCGACGGCUUUGUGAGUGAAAGUGAAGAGACACUUCGAGGCAGGAGGUCCUGGAACCAAUCCCCUCUGAUACUGAGAGACAACUAUUACACAAGAGAAAUAUUCUACCAUUCACAAAAUCUCGUUUAAGUGUUGUGAAAUACAAACACCAGGGAAUCAAGAACUUUAGAAAAUUGUGGCUGUGUUCCCAUAUGUGGUACAAAGAACCAGUGAGUCCCAUUUGUUGUGGUUCCUGCAUUCGAUGACUCCAGAUGUGCCACCACCGAGCUAGUCUUAUGACAACCUAGAAGGCAAAUUGGGAUGGCCCUAUAUUUGUCACUGAGAGCAGAAGGGUUGAGAACUUAGAUCCUGACAGGAGGCCCACCUUUAUUGGAGAAAUGGCUCUGCAACUUAGCUCAUGUAAGACUGCUGGGAUUUGAAAUUUAUCCUAUUAUUUGAAGACUGAAAUCAAAAUAUGAAGGUGGAGCAUCAUGUGUGCCUUCUGUCUUGUUCUCUACUAGGGUGUAAACCAUUUAACUAAAAAUAGUCUCCAAUUUGACACCUUCCCAACAUUUCACUAGUAUACUCCAAAUCUCCAUGCAGGGUUACAGACCUAUUUCAGCUGGCUCCAUUUACUCUGAGGCAGAUAAAGCUGAGAUUGCAACAUCAGAAGCAGUUCAACCAAUCAUUAUGUACAAACCUCAGCCCAUUUGUAUAAUGCAAUCCUUCUGGUAGUAAUGACACAAAACAUGCCUAUAGGGACGAUCACAACCCUGUCAAAGUCCCAAGUCAUCUGUGGCACCAGGGCCACAGAACUUCUUACCACUUGGAAGCAAAAUAGUUGCUUUAAUGGUAACCAAAUGCCCUCCUUCAAGACAGUAUUUCAAGAAGGAGGAGUAUACGUAUAUUAUACAAACAUAUCCAAUCCCUUUAGAAGAUAAUUAUCAAUAUCAUGCAGGGAAGCUGGAACACACACACAAAAUCGAGUACUAUCUAGAAGAUCAAGCCACAAAUCUCAAGAGAAGCAGUAAGUGUCCAGGGCCUGGGAUUUUUUAUCUUGGCCGUGAGAAUAGCACAGCCCAUGGUGCAGAAACGACAGGCUAGUUGUCCAGCAUAACAUGGUGUUUUAUUUCACCAUAGUAGACUGCUGGGAAAUCUCUGGAGGCCUUGGCAGCUGUGUCUUGUCUUUAAUAUGAAGCCUGGGGGGGAAGACAGAGAGAGAGACUCAUAAUUCACAAGAGGCCCAGCCGUAAGAAAGCCAUUCUAAAUAACUGAAUCAGGCACCGAGGAGGAGCGACUAUUCCAUUCCUAAGUCAAGAAUGCUUUUUGUCUUUCCUUCUCUCCUAAUUGGCUCAUGAAAAGAUCAUUUAUGUGUGGUAGAAUCAGUACAUCAGAGGCAGCUUCUGUUUCUCUCCAUUUCUCCUCCCCACUGCUGCUGUCCUGUAAAAAGACCCUUUGUUACAGACUGAAACAGCAGAUGCAGCUCAGAUAUUAUCUUGAAUAAUUUUGUGGGGAGCAUUUUAUCUUGAAUUGGUGUAAUGCCAUUUUCACGUGGAAAGUGGUUCUAUGUCUGAUCCAAAUGUUCUAGAAACUUGAGAGACCCAUAUGGCAAAGAAGUACUUUACACACAUAUCUCUUUAAAGUAGUGCAGGGUAUGGGAAGAACUGAUAAUGCUGAUUAAAUGAUAUGUAGACGAAAUGAAUGUAAACUGGCAUCAUGGGCUGAGUGAGUCAGGGGAGGCCUUGUGGAAGAGAUAAGAGUAAUAGAAAAUGCUAGGUCAAGUAUGUGUAGAGGCCUGGAGAGAGGAAUGGACUUAGUGGGUCCAAAAGUAAGAAGACUUGUUUGUUGUGAAUACAGAGUUAGAAGUAGGUAGAAGAAAAAGUUGGUCGGGUCCUGCAGAGAUUAAAAAUCCGGUUUAAGAUUUUAGAUUGUUUCAAUCAUCAAUUAGUUGGUGUCUGUGUUCAUUGUGGAAAUGCUUUAAAUAUAGAUAACAAAAAGGAUAAUAACUUACAAUCCUACCAGUCGUAGGAUGAUGAUGGCAGACAAUGUGGUGCACAUUCUUUCAUAUAUUUUAUUGUCCUAGUUUAAGGUUCCCUAUAGGCAGAUCCUGAGAUGAAGAUUUAAAUGCACACCACUUAUUGAGGAGGUGAUUUCAGGAAACACCGGCAGGAGAGUGGGGCAGUAUGACAGGGAAAGAAAGGAAGCAAAAAAAUAAAGGGCAUGUUCUCAAAGGAAUCAGUUGGAGAGCAGUCAUGCUGGAGACACUGGAAGAGAGUAUAGAAGAUGUCUCAAUGUAGUCCUGCCUAGGGAUCAGGAAGUCGAAGUAUUUAUCCACUAAUUCUUGUCAAUUGAGAAUUUAUUUGAGGGGCAUUAACUCUCCAAAACGGUCUCCCUGUGCCGGAAAAAUAACCCUAAGCAGAAUGUUGUAGGUAUUUGCAGCAAAUAGCCCUCAGUGUGUCCUGAGGAUUGGUGUAGUACAUAAAUAUACAAAAUUAUUUUUAUUUAUAAAAAAGCUUUCUAUGCAUCAGGCUCUGUACUGUGUGUUUUACUUGCAUUCACUCAAAAUAGUUCUCACAGAAGCCCUAUGAGGUCGGCGCUACUCUUAUCCCCUGAGGAUUAGAGGCUGGGAGAAGUAUAUAUGAGAGUCAUAUGGAGAUUAAAUACCUGAAGUCAUGAGGAGAUGAUGCACUCUCCAAGAGAGCUUUGAUGACAGCCUAUUUAUGCAGCUUCUGUCAUCUGUACACAUUCUCCUCUUUCUGUCAACAAAGAGUUUUUCUUUUGCAAUUGUAAAUGUCCUCUGUUUUCAGAGACUUUUGUUGGAAAACAAAACAAAAUCUUGAGACAUGAAGGAUCUGUAAUGGACACCUGUCGAUUGUGUCUGUUCAGCAGCUCCUCUCCCACCUGUCUUCCAGUACAACACCUUAUUUCAUUGGAGAGAAAGGUUCUACCUCUUCUCCUUAAGGUUUUAGUGGACAGCCAAACCAGUCUUCAGUCUACAGGGUGAGUAUGAGAUCCAGGCUUGACCAACCAUAGUCACCACCCACUUGGCUACAUCAAAUUGAGCCAGAAAGAGCCUUUCCCUGGGAAUUUAUAUGUAGACUUUGGGAAAAGGAAGCUUUCUUCUCUGAUGUUACUAGACAGCGAUGACAAAACCAGUGCUUGUCUGGACCAUGCUCCACUUCCUCUCCACAGCAAGAUGAGCAAGCUCAUCUGUAGUAGGAAAGAAUGUAGGAAUGCAUCCCCUGCACAGAGAAAAGCGGAGGAGAGAAUGAGAGAGAGAGAGAGAGAGAGAGAGAGAGAGAGAGAGAGAGAGAGAUCUGACUGUACUGCUAAGUCCCUGCAAUCCCCACCAAGGUCUGCAAGGUCUACUUCCCCUAGACUACAACUACCCAUUACUUGUGCCAAAUAUUCAAUAAAUCGUAACCUUAGCAGGGAGAGGGAUGAAGAGAGAUUGAUUAAUGGGUAUGUAUAUACAGUAUGAUAGAAGAAAUAAGACCUAGUAUUUCAUCAGUCAGUAGUAUGACUAUAGUUUACAAUAAUCUAUUGUAUAUUUCAAUAUAGCUAGAAGAGAAGAAUUAGAAUGUUUCUAGCAUAAAGAAAACACAAAUAUUUAAGGUGAUGGGAAUCUCAGUUACACUGAUUUUAUCUUUACAAGGCAUAUGAAUGUUUUAAAUUGUCAUAGUACCCCCAAAAUAUGUACAUGUUAUGUAUCAAUAAAACACAAAAUUAAAAAAUAAAUAUUUAAACAAUCAUA